rnacentral:rRNA from 1 species
AUUGAACGCUGGCGGCAUGCUUUACACAUGCAAGUCGAACGGCAGCACAGGGAGCUUGCUCCCGGGUGGCGAGUGGCGCACGGGUGAGUAAUACAUCGGAACGUGUCCUGUUGUGGGGGAUAACUGCUCGAAAGGGUGGCUAAUACCGCAUGAGACCUGAGGGUGAAAGCGGGGGAUCGCAAGACCUCGCGCAAUUGGAGCGGCCGAUGCCCGAUUAGCUAGUUGGUGAGGUAAAGGCUCACCAAGGCGACGAUCGGUAGCUGGUCUGAGAGGACGACCAGCCACACUGGGACUGAGACACGGCCCAGACUCCUACGGGAGGCAGCAGUGGGGAAUAUUGCACAAUGGGGGAAACCCUGAUGCAGCGACGCCGCGUGGAGGAAGAAGGUCUUCGGAUUGUAAACUCCUGUUGUUGGGGAAGAUAAUGACGGUACCAACAAGGAAGUGACGGCUAACUACGUG